rnacentral:rRNA from 1 species
UUGGAAACUGUCGAACUUGAGUGCAGUAGAGGUAAGUGGAACUCCAUGUGUAGCGGUGGAAUGCGUAGAUAUAUGGAAGAACACCAGUGGCGAAGGCGGCUUACUGGACUGCAACUGACGUUGAGGCUCGAAAGUGUGGGUAGCAAACAGGAUUAGAUACCCUGGUAGUCCAUACCGUAAACGAUGAACACUAGGUGUUAGAGGGUUUCCGCCCUUUAGUGCCGAAGCUAACGCAUUAAGUGUUCCGCCUGGGGAGUACGACCGCAAGGUUGAAACUCAAAGGAAUUGACGGGGACCCGCACAAGCGG